rnacentral:rRNA from 1 species
GACGAACGCUGGCGGCGUGCUUAACACAUGCAAGUCGAACGGAAAGGCCCUGCUUUUGUGGGGUGCUCGAGUGGCGAACGGGUGAGUAACACGUGAGUAACCUGCCCUUGACUUUGGGAUAACUUCAGGAAACUGGGGCUAAUACCGGAUAGGAGCUCCUGCUGCAUGGUGGGGGUUGGAAAGUUUCGGCGGUUGGGGAUGGACUCGCGGCUUAUCAGCUUGUUGGUGGGGUAGUGGCUUACCAAGGCUUUGACGGGUAGCCGGCCUGAGAGGGUGGCCGGCCACAUUGGGACUGAGAUACGGCCCAGACGCCUACGGGAGGCAGCAGUGGGGAAUAUUACACAAUGGGCGGAAGCCUGAUGCAGCAACGCCGCGUGCGGGAUGACGGCCUUCGGGUUGUAAACCGCUUUCGCCUGUGACGAAGCGUGAGUGACGGUAAUGGGUAAAGAAGCACCGGCUAACUACGUG